AAGGGAUGGGAUUGAGUGACUUGCUUCAAUUCAAUUAACAUUUAUUAAGUGCCUACUAUGUGCUAGGCACUGUGCAAAUGCUGGGGAAAAAAAAAGGGCAAAAGACAGUCGAUGACCUCAAGGAGCUUACAGUCUAAUGAGGGAAACAACAUAUAAAGAAAUAUAAACAAACAAGUUAUGUACAGGAUGAAUAGGAAACAAAGAAAGCAGCACAAUUAAGAGGGUUUGGGGAAAGACUUUCUGCAGAAGGCUGGAUUUUAGUUGGGAUUUAAAGGAAGCCAGAGAGAUCAGUAGUUGUAGGAGAAGAGGGAGAGCAUUCUGGGAAUGAGGAAUAGUUAUGAAAAUGCCUGAAGCUGAGACAUGCAGUGUCUUGUUCAUGGAAUAGCCAGGAGGUCAAGGUUACUGGAUUGAAGAGUAUAUGGUGAGGAGUAGUAUUGAAGAAGAUUGGGAAGGUAGGAGGGGGCUGGUUGAUGAAGGUCUUUGAAUGCUAAACAGAACAUUUUCUAUUUGCUCCUGUAGGAAACAGGAAAUCACUGGAGUUUAGUGAGCAUAAUGUCCUCCCGAGAAGUGACAAAAGUAGGAUUUGAUGUCAGAUUCUCUGAUUUUAGUCAGUGAUCUUUUCUGGCUCCUAUUCUGAAAUCUAAGGUCCCUUCCAACUCUGAAGCACAAUGGAAGUGCUUUAAAGGGGAAAAGCAUUAUUCAAAGGACCAAUCUCUAUCAGGAGGAAAAAAACCAACAGAAGAAAAAUGGAGAAGAGGAAGGAGUUACUCCAAAGAAAGGACAAUAAGUUCCUUCACAAAUUAUUCCAGCUUGGUUUCUGAGCCUGGCGGUGGAGUCUAGUCUCUACUCUCUUUUGUGGUUGGAUAUAGGACCAAAGGACUGAGACCAGUGGUGACAGCUUUAAUUCUGAGGUCUUCUUCAGAAAUACCAGAGAAUGCCUCUCUAUUUUGACCUUCGUUGAAAAGAAAAAUAGAGAAGAACCCACUGCAAAAGAGCAUUGCACUGAAGAGUCCAGGACUGAAAGUCCAAUUUAUAACCUACUAUGUACUAUCUGUGGUCAACAUCACUUCACUUUAUUUUAUUUUUGAUUUUUUUGAUUUCUUAUAUUUUAUUGUAUUUCCCAC